rnacentral:rRNA from 1 species
AGCGAACGCUGGCGGCAGGCUUAACACAUGCAAGUCGAACGCCCGGGCAACCGGGAGUGGCAGACGGGUGAGUAACGCGUGGGAACGUACCCUUUGGUUCGGAAUAACUCAGGGAAACUUGAGCUAAUACCGGAUAAGCCCUUACGGGGAAAGAUUUAUCGCCGAAGGAUCGGCCCGCGUCCGAUUAGCUAGUUGGUGAGGUAACGGCUCACCAAGGCGACGAUCGGUAGCUGGUCUGAGAGGAUGAUCAGCCACACUGGGACUGAGACACGGCCCAGACUCCUACGGGAGGCAGCAGUGGGGAAUAUUGGACAAUGGGGGCAACCCUGAUCCAGCCAUGCCGCGUGAGUGAUGAAGGCCUUAGGGUUGUAAAGCUCUUUCGGCGGGGACGAUAAUGACGGUACCCGCAGAAGAAGCCCCGGCUAACUUCGUGCCAGCCGCCGCCGUAAGAC